rnacentral:rRNA from 1 species
GAUGAACGCUAGCGGCAGGCUUAACACAUGCAAGUCGAGGGGCAGCGCGGAGUAGCAAUACUCUGGCGGCGACCGGCGGAAGGGUGCGUAACACGUGAGCAACUUGCCCGUGACAGGGGGAUAAGCGAUGGAAACGUCGUCUAACAUCCCGUAACACGAGGGGAGGCAUCUCCCUUCGUUGAAAACUCCGGUGGUCACGGAUGGGCUCGCGGGACAUUAGCUAGUUGGCGGGGCAACGGCCCACCAAGGCGACGAUGUCUAGGGGUUCUGAGAGGAAGAUCCCCCACACUGGAACUGAGACACGGUCCAGACUCCUACGGGAGGCAGCAGUGAGGAAUAUUGGACAAUGGAGGCAACUCUGAUCCAG